AUUCCCUACGGGGGGCAGCAGUGAGGAAUAUUGGUCAAUGGGCGGGAGCCUGAACCAGCCAAGCCGCGUGAGGGAAGAAGGUACAGCGUAUCGUAAACCUCUUUUGUCAGGGAACAAAGGCGGGGACUAGUCCCCGGAUGAGGGUACCUGAAGAAAAAGCAUCGGCUAACUCCGUGCCAGCAGCCGCGGUAAUACGGAGGAUGCGAGCGUUAUCCGGAUUUAUUGGGUGUAAAGGGUGCGUAGACGGGACCUUAAGUCAGCGGUAAAAUUGCGGUGCUCAACGCCGUAGAGCCGUUGAAACUGGG
rnacentral:rRNA from 1 species